UACCAGCACCCCGAGUGGUCGGGACGUUUAUUGGGCCUAAAGUAUCCGUAGCCGGUUCUACAAGUCUUCCGUUAAAUCCAGCUGCUUAACAGAUGGGCUGCGGAAGAUACUAUGGAGCUAGGAGGCGGGAGAGGCAAGCGGUACUCGAUGGGUAGGGGUAAAAUCCGUUGAUCCAUUGAAGACCACCAGUGGCGAAGGCGGCUUGCCAGAACGCGCUCGACGGUGAGGGAUGAAAGCUGGGGGAGCAACCGG
rnacentral:rRNA from 1 species